UCCUGCGGCGAAGAUGUAACGGGGCUCAAGCCACGAGCCGAAGCUUAGGAUGCCGUAAGGCAUGGUAGCAGAGCGUAGUGUGACAUAGAUCCAUUCCUCCUUAGCGCCCUCGGGCGUGUUGGAGGAGAGGAUCUUUCGAUGAAGCGGGCGCGUGAGCGAUCCCGUGGAGAGAUCACUAGCGAGAAUGAUGACAUGAGUAGCGACAAACAGGGUGAGAGACCCUGUCGCCGAAAGUCCAAGGGUUCCUGCUUAAGCUAAUCUGAGCAGGG
rnacentral:rRNA from 1 species